GUGAGGAAUAUUGGUCAAUGGACGGAAGUCUGAACCAGCCAUGCCGCGUGCAGGAAUAAGGUCCUAUGGAUCGUAAACUGCUUUUAUUCGGGAAUAAACCUCGUUACGUGUAGGGAGCUGAAGGUACCGAAGGAAUAAGCACCGGCUAACUCCGUGCCAGCAGCCGCGGUAAUACGGAGGGUGCAAGCGUUAUCCGGAAUCAUUGGGUUUAAAGGGUCCGCAGGCGGGCUAUCAAGUCAGAGGUGAAAUCCCACAGCUUAACUGUGGAACUGCCUUUGAAACUGAUGGUCUUGAAUUAAGUGGGCGUUGGCGGAAUAUGACAUGUAGCGGUGAAAUGCAUAGAUAUGUCAUGGAACACCGAAAGCGAAGGCAGCUAACGAUACUUAUAUUGACGCUCAUGGACGAAAGCGUGGGUAGCGAACAGGAUUAGAUACCCGUGUAGUCC
rnacentral:rRNA from 1 species